CGGCGCAUGCGCGGUUAAGCGCCCUGCGCGAGGACGGCCUGUUUUAAUAGUUACCCGGAUCCGAGGGAGGAGCAAUGGCGGCAACAGCGGCGGCGUCCUGGGUCAUUGACAGGAGCUGAAGCGACGCCUGCCCGCAGCAGCGUCCCCUCCGGUGGACGUCGGGCCUUUCCACACGACGCUUGGCGGCGGUGUGUGGGGGUUUAUUUAUUUAUUUAGCCUUCACGUUAUGUUUUGCUUCGCUUGCUAGUAGUGCCUGAGUGCUGCGGCGUUUGUAACGGGAACGCGGUUUAGGCGAGGAGGCGUUCCGUUUCCGAGGGGAGUCUUUUAUUUAUCGGAAGCCGUUUAAUGGGGGAGCGCUGUCGGGAUCGAAUGGCCCUCCGCAGAGCCGGCCCAAGACCUUUUGCCACCUGAGGCGGCCUCUUCCGCCCCUCCGCCAGGGAAGAAGCGGGGAGCGGAGAUGGACUUCGGGACCCUGCGGACCCUGCCGCCUGAGGCGGUCGCCGCCUCACCUUGUCUCGUGGGUGGGCCGGCCCUGAUGCCCAGUCACGUUUAAAGACAAUAGAAGCCAUAGUAAGGAAGGGGAAAGCAGUUGAUGUUGCCCAUCAUGAGUGAGCAGCUGGACGGCAGACUCCGCAGCCAAUGCAGCUUACACAAUUCCCCCUCCGUGGUGCCACUGAACUGAAGGCGCAACCACCAUGGAUUGAACCUCUGGCACAGCACAAGAAAGACCUCCUUAGAUGACCACGGUAAACAGGCAGGCAUAGAAGGGGUAAAGCAAUCUCACAUCCUGGUCCCAAGUUAUGUAGGGCUUUAUACAUUAGCAGUAAGACCUUACAUUUGGUCCAGUAACAUAGUGGCAGCUAGUGAAGUUUAGUGCUGAUGUUCUGUGUUGACAGACAGCAACCCUGGCUGCAGGGGCAGCCCGAGACCUCACUUAUUUCACAAAAUCACUAAGGAGGUGCCUGCACAUUUUGCCCCCAUAAGUUAAGACACUUUUUUUAAAAAAAAUGAAA